rnacentral:rRNA from 1 species
AGCUCCAAGAGCGUAUAUUAAAGUUGUUGCAGUUAAAAAGCUCGUAGUUGGAUUUCUGGCUUGGCGCGCUUGGCCCGCCAGGGUUACCUGUGUGAGUGCCGAUGCGUGCCUUCCAUCCUUCUAGAGAACGUUUCUACCCUUCACUGGGCUGGACUCGCAAUCUAGAACUUUUACUUUGAAAAAAUUAGAGUGUUCAAGGCAGGCUCGCGCUAUGAAUACAUUAGCAUGGAAUAAUGAUUUAGGACUUCGUUUCUAUUUCGUUGGUUUCUGGAAAUGAAGUAAUGAUUGAUAGGGAUAGUUGGGGGUGCUAGUACUGACUCGCCAGAGGUGAAAUUCUUGGAUUGGGUCAAGACUAACAAAUGCGAAAGCAUUCACCAAGGAUGUCUUCUUUAAUCAAGAA